rnacentral:rRNA from 1 species
CCUACGGGAGGCAGCAGUGAGGAAUAUUGGUCAAUGGGCGGAAGCCUGAACCAGCCAAGUAGCGUGCGGGAUGAAGGCCCUACGGGUCGUAAACCGCUUUUGCACGGGGAUAAAACCCUCCACUUGUGGAGGUCUGCAGGUACCGUGCGAAUAAGGGCCGGCUAAUUCCGUGCCAGCAGCCGCGGUAAUACGGAAGGCCCGAGCGUUAUCCGGAUUCAUUGGGCUAAAAGGGAGCGUAGGCGGGCGUUCAAGUCAGCUGUAAAAUCGCGCGGCUCAACCGCGCCCCGCAGUUGAAACUGGACGACUUGAGUACACAACAGGCAGGCGGAAUUCGGGGUGUAGCGGUGAAAUGCAUAGAUAUCACGAGGAACCCCGAUUGCGAAGGCAGCCUGCCGGGGUGCGACUGACGCUGAGGCUCGAAGGUGCGGGUAUCAAACAGGAUUAGAUACCCGAGUAGUC